rnacentral:rRNA from 1 species
GAUGAACGCUGGCGGCGUGCCUAAUACAUGCAAGUCGAGCGAACAGACGAGGAGCUUGCUCCUCUGACGUUAGCGGCGGACGGGUGAGUAACACGUGGAUAACCUACCUAUAAGACUGGGAUAACUUCGGGAAACCGGAGCUAAUACCGGAUAAUAUAUUGAACCGCAUGGUUCAAUAGUGAAAGACGGUUUUGCUGUCACUUAUAGAUGGAUCCGCGCCGCAUUAGCUAGUUGGUAAGGUAACGGCUUACCAAGGCAACGAUGCGUAGCCGACCUGAGAGGGUGAUCGGCGACACUGGAACUGGGACACGGUCCAGACUCCUACGGGAGGCAGCAGUAGGGAAUCUUCCGCAAUGGGCGAAAGCCUGACGGAGCAACGCCGCGUGAGUGAUGAAGGUCUUCGGAUCGUAAAACUCUGUUAUUAGGGAAGAACAAAUGUGUAAGUAACUAUGCACGUCUUGACGGUACCGAAUCAGAAAGCCACGGCUAACUACGUG